GACGAACGCUUGCGGCGUGCCUAAGAAAUGCAAGUCGAGCGAGGCCAGGGAGCUUGCUCCUGAAGCCUAGCGGCGAACGGUCGCGUAACACGUAAGCAACCUGCCCCCAAGACCGGGAUAGCCCACCGAAAGGUGGAUUAAUACCGGAUGUGGAUAUGGUAAGGCAUCUUUGUCAUAUCUAAACCAGGCGACUGGCUUGGGGAUGGGCUUGCGGCCUAUCAGCUAGUUGGUGUAGUAACGGUGCACCAAGGCGACGACGGGUAGCUGGUCUGAGAGGAUGGUCAGCCGGACUGGGACUGAGAUACGGCCCAGACUCCUACGGGGGGCAGCAAUUAGGAAUCUUGCGCAAUGGGGGAAACCCUGACGCAGCGACGCCGCGUGAAGGAUGACGGCCUUCGGGUUGUAAACUUCUUUUAAGGGGAAGAAUAAAGUGACGGUACCCUUGAAUAAGCCCGGCUAACUACGUG
rnacentral:rRNA from 1 species